rnacentral:rRNA from 1 species
UACGUAGGCAGCAAGCGUUGUUCGGAGUUACUGGGCGUAAAGGGUGCGUAGGCGGUUGUUUAAGUUUGGUGUGAAAUCUCCCGGCUCAACUGGGAGGGUGCGCCGAAUACUGAAUGACUAGAGUGCGGGAGAGGAAAGUGGAAUUCCUGGUGUAGCGGUGAAAUGCGUAGAUAUCAGGAGGAACACCGGUGGUGUAGACGGCUUUCUGGACCGUAACUGACGCUGAGACACGAAAGCGUGGGGUAGCAAACAGG